rnacentral:rRNA from 1 species
GUCCACGCCCUAAACGAUGUCAACUAGUUGUUCGGUGAGGAGACUCAUUGAGUAACGCAGCUAACGCGUGAAGUUGACCGCCUGGGGAGUACGGCCGCAAGGUUAAACUCAAAGGAAUUGACGGGGACCCGCACAAGCGGUGGAUGAUGUGGAUUAAUUCGAUGUAACGCGAAAACCUUACCUACCCUUGACAUGUCAGGAAUCCUUGAGAGAUUGAGGAGUGCCCGAAAGGGAGCCUGAACACAGGUGCUGCAUGGCUGUCGU